UAGGGAAUCUUCCGCAAUGGACGCAAGUCUGACGGAGCAACGCCGCGUGAGUGAAGAAGGUUUUCGGAUCGUAAAACUCUGUUAUAAGAGAAGAACAAGUUAUAGAGUAACUGUUGCAGCUUUGACGGUAUCUUAUCAGAAAGCCACGGCUAACUACGUGCCAGCAGCCGCGGUAAUACGUAGGUGGCAAGCGUUGUCCGGAUUUAUUGGGCGUAAAGGGAGCGCAGGUGGUUUCUUAAGUCUGAUGUGAAAGCCCACGGCUCAACCGUGGAGGGUCAUUGGAAACUGGAAAACUUGAGUACAGAAGAGGAAAGUGGAAUUCCAUGUGUAGCGGUGGAAUGCGUAGAUAUAUGGAGGAACACCAGUGGCGAAGGCGACUUUCUGGUCUGUUACUGACACUGAGGCUCGAAAGCGUGGGGAGCAAACAGG
rnacentral:rRNA from 1 species